GAUGAACGCUAGCGAUAGGCUUAACACAUGCAAGUCGAGGGGCAGCAUGGUCUUAGCUUGCUAAGACUGAUGGCGACCGGCGCACGGGUGCGUAACGCGUAUGCAACUUGCCUCACAGAGGGGGAUAACCCGUCGAAAGACGGACUAAUACCGCGUACACUUGGGAUAGGGCAUCCUGACCCAAGGAAAUGAAAUUCGCUGUGAGAUAGGCAUGCGUCCCAUUAGCUAGUUGGUGAGGUAACGGCUCACCAAGGCGACGAUGGGUAGGGGAACUGAGAGGUUGAACCCCCGCACUGGUACUGAGACACGGACCAGACUCCUACGGGAGGCAGCAGUGAGGAAUAUUGGUCAAUGGGCGAGAGCCUGAACCAGCCAAGUCGCGUGAAGGAUGACUGGCUUAUGGAUUGUAAACUUCUUUUAUACGGGAAUAACAAGAGUCACGUGUGGCUCCCUGCAUGUACCGUAUGAAUAAGCAUCGGCUAACUCCGUG
rnacentral:rRNA from 1 species